UGAUAAGAAAAGGAAUUGAACCUCUAUUAAUAGGACUACAGCCUACCACCUUAACACUCGGCCAUCUUACC
rnacentral:tRNA from 1 species